UUCUUUCUUUUGCUUUCUUUUUCUUUCUUUUUGGUUAUUAGAUAUGAGGUUUUAUAAAUCUACGGUGGAACAAUAGAUCUUCAACGGACGAUGGUGGCCAAUUCAGACGCCCUUGUGCCGCGGGCCGAUGUCCCUGACUCGCCUUGGCCGGGGAAGUGGCAAUUCCAUCACGGAAGGGUUGGCGACAUGUGUGCCUGCAAAUGUAUUUUCGUUGUUUUUAUUGCGGUGACUAGGGCUGGUUAUGAUGAAUUCAUGGUGUGUGUGCGUUUAGUCGUGUAUACGGCGAGGACGGCUCGACGGCGACUGGUGUACGUUUGCUAGCGGUGCUAGGGUUCUAAACUGCAAAAGUAAGAUUUUGAAAAUGAUUCUAGUUGUCUACGAGUGUCUAACGGCGCUGUGAAUCGAAGAAUCGGCUGUUAUUGAAAGUUUUUUUUUUAUGUUAGAAAAAAAAAACAUUUUUUUGGCUGAUUGCAUCGGAUUAUCUUUUAAGAGAUUUUGCUUUGUUUGACCGCUAGAGUUUGGCGGCAGCUGCGUUUGGCUGCUAGGGUUGGUGACGGCUGGAAGUUAUUGGCGGUUAGGGUUUGAUAGUACUUCAUAGUAAAACAUAGUAUACCAUAGUAUACCAUAGUACUAUACUAUAAUAUCAUGGUAUACUAUACUCUACUACAUAAAAUAUGUAUAUUGGAUUAAAAAAUGAAAAAAAAAAAUGCAUGCUUUUGUUUUUGUAAUAAUAUUAUGUGGAAAAAAAAG
rnacentral:lncRNA from 1 species